GAUGAACGCUGGCGGCGUGCCUAAUACAUGCAAGUCGAGCGAACGGACGAGAAGCUUGCUUCUCUGAUGUUAGCGGCGGACGGGUGGGUAACACGUGGAUAACCUACCUAUAAGACUGGGAUAACUUCGGGAAACCGGAGCUAAUACCGGAUGAUAUUUUGAACCGCAUGGUUCAAAAGUGAAAGACGGUCUUGCUGUCACUUAUAGAUGGAUCCGCGCUGCAUUAGCUAGUUGGUAAGGUAACGGCUUACCAAGGCAACGAUGCAUAGCCGACCUGAGAGGGUGAUCGGCCACACUGGAACUGAGACACGGUCCAGACUCCUACGGGAGGCAGCAGUAGGGAAUCUUCCGCAAUGGGCGAAAGCCUGACGGAGCAACGCCGAGUGAGUGAUGAAGGUCUUCGGAUCGUAAAACUCUGUUAUUAGGGAAGAACAUAUGUGUAAGUAACUGUGCACAUCUUGACGGUACCUAAUCAGAAAGCCACGGCUAACUACGUG
rnacentral:rRNA from 1 species